rfam:Ktedonobacter sp. 13_2_20CM_53_11 13_2_20cm_scaffold_8581, whole genome shotgun sequence.
GUCAUGAACCCCUGCAUCGAAUGCGGGGGCUUGCAGCAAGGCUCAUCGUCUCGCUACAAGCCCGGAACAUGACCAGACUCAGGCUUGAAACAGAGCCUACGUUAGGAGCGAAUCCAUAGGCACGUCCGGGUGCGACGCCAGCCCGGACCGCUGCGGCAAUCGAUUAAACAGGGCUAGCGGGUUACCCCAGUGUCGUUUGCGUCAAACCGCUCCAUAACCUUGUCGAGGCGAACAUCAC